GACGUCGACAAAGGAUUGCCAUCGCAGUACACGAACACACCGGCGACGUCGUCUUUGACGAUGAUCGUCCGUUGACUUAUACACUGCGGGAAAAGUCCCCGGAGACACAGCGGCCGUCUCGAACUCUCUUUCCAAAUAAGGCCUCGGUGAAAAAAAGGAAAGCUCCCAUCUCUAAGCACGAUGAGGUCAUUAUUCUCUGUUGGCUGGGGGAGAGAGUUCGAUGGGCGGGCUCGUAUCGAAGGUUCUUUGCGCGUCCUUUCGACCUUCUCUGAUUGGGGGGACGAGACGUUUUAGCAUCCCUCGUCAAUACACGCUGUAGACCCUAUUCUUUUUUUAAUAAAGGGGGGUCCUACGUUUCUCAUAGCCAUAGGCAUGCAAUCGCCGUCACGCUUCGUUGUGGCGGUAUCAGAAUGGGGCUUACUCUUGCCGACGU
rnacentral:RNase_MRP_RNA from 2 species